rnacentral:rRNA from 1 species
CACACGGCGGGUGCUAACGUCCGUCGUGAAGAGGGAAACAACCCAGACCGCCAGCUAAGGUCCCAAAGUCAUGGUUAAGUGGGAAACGAUGUGGGAAGGCCCAGACAGCCAGGAUGUUGGCUUAGAAGCAGCCAUCAUUUAAAGAAAGCGUAAUAGCUCACUGGUCGAGUCGGCCUGCGCGGAAGAUGUAACGGGGCUAAACCAUGCACCGAAGCUGCGGCAGCGACGCUGAUGCGUUGUUGGGUAGGGGAGCGUUCUGUAAGCCUGCGAAGGUGGCCUGUGAGGGUUGCUGGAGGUAUCAGAAGUGCGAAUGCUGACAUAAGUAACGAUAAAGCGGGUGAAAAGCCCGCUCGCCGGAAGACCAAGGGUUCCUGUCCAACGUUAAUCGGGGCAGGGUGAGUCGACCCCUAAGGCGAGGCCGAAAGGCGUAGUCGAUGGGAAACGGGUUAAUAUUCCCGUACUUGGUGUUACUGCGAAGGGGGGACGGAGAAGGCUAUGUUGGCCGGGCGACGGUUGUCCCGGUUUAAGCGUGUAGGUGUGUGUUCCAGGUAAAUCCGGUUCACUUUAACACUGAGGCGUGAUGACGAGGCACUACGGUGCUGAAGCAACAAAUGCCCUGCUUCCAGGAAAAGCCUCUAAGCAUCAGGUAACAUCAAAUCGUACCCCAAACCGACACAGGUGGUCAGGUAGAGAAUACCAAGGCGCUUGAGAGAACUCGGGUGAAGGAACUAGGCAAAAUGGUGCCGUAACUUCGGGAGAAGGCACGCUGACACGUAGGUGAAGUGAUUUACUCAUGGAGCUGAAGUCAGUCGAAGAUACCAGCUGGCUGCAACUGUUUAUUAAAAACACAGCACUGUGCAAACACGAAAGUGGACGUAUACGGUGUGACGCCUGCCCGGUGCCGGAAGGUUAAUUGAUGGGGUCAGCGCAAGCGAAGCUCCUGAUCGAAGCCCCGGUAAACGGCGGCCGUAACUAUAACGGUCCUAAGGUAGCGAAAUUCCUUGUCGGGUAAGUUCCGACCUGCACGAAUGGCGUAAUGAUGGCCAGGCUGUCUCCACCCGAGACUCAGUGAAAUUGAACUCGCUGUGAAGAUGCAGUGUACCCGCGGCAAGACGGAAAGACCCCGUGAACCUUUACUAUAGCUUGACACUGAACAUUGAGCCUUGAUGUGUAGGAUAGGUGGGAGGCUUUGAAGUGUGGACGCCAGUCUGCAUGGAGCCGACCUUGAAAUACCACCCUUUAAUGUUUGAUGUUCUAACGUGGACCCGUGAUCCGGGUUGCGGACAGUGUCUGGUGGGUAGUUUGACUGGGGCGGUCUCCUCCUAAAGAGUAACGGAGGAGCACGAAGGUUGGCUAAUCCUGGUCGGACAUCAGGAGGUUAGUGCAAUGGCAUAAGCCAGCUUGACUGCGAGCGUGACGGCGCGAGCAGGUGCGAAAGCAGGUCAUAGUGAUCCGGUGGUUCUGAAUGGAAGGGCCAUCGCUCAACGGAUAAAAGGUACUCCGGGGAUAACAGGCUGAUACCGCCCAAGAGUUCAUAUCGACGGCGGUGUUUGGCACCUCGAUGUCGGCUCAUCACAUCCUGGGGCUGAAGUAGGUCCCAAGGGUAUGGCUGUUCGCCAUUUAAAGUGGUACGCGAGCUGGGUUUAGAACGUCGUGAGACAGUUCGGUCCCUAUCUGCCGUGGGCGCUGGAGAACUGAGGGGGGCUGCUCCUAGUACGAGAGGACCGGAGUGGACGCAUCACUGGUGUUCGGGUUGUCAUGCCAAUGGCACUGCCCGGUAGCUAAAUGCGGAAGAGAUAAGUGCUGAAAGCAUCUAAGCACGAAACUUGCCCCGAGAUGAGUUCUCCCUGAGACUUUAGGUCUCCUGAAGGAACGUUGAAGACGACGACGUUGAUAGGCCGGGUGUGUAAGCGCAGCGAUGCGUUGAGCUAACCGGUACUAAUGAACCGUGAGGCUUAACCUU